AUAGCUAUGGGGCACAGUGGGAGUACUGCUACAAGAGCUCAAGGACGUAGCUGAGAAGCCUGCUGCUCCACUUGGUACUGGAGAUCAAGCCCUCUCUCUAAAGAACUCUGGCAUACAGGAUAGAUUGUUGUUGAUCAGAAAAAAUGCCUGCUCUUUUUUGCAGCUCAGUUCCUUGUUUCCUUAGUAACUCUUGGUAAAAGUAAAUGCACCUGAGUGUAGUUUUAACAACGUGAAAUUUCUACAUACAUUGCCCAAUCCAAUUCCACCCACUCUCAGCAUCUCCCUCAUCUUCCACGAUAGACCUGCCAUUACAUGCUAUACGUACGAUCACUAGCAGAGUGGGUGCAAUCAGAGACUGAGAAGCAUGUUAACAAAAGUCCUGGCGAAGAACAAAAAUAACCCCCUGCCAGUCACCAUAGCAAAUGUUGCUCCCAAGAGAUAGGAAAAAAUUAUAUACUGAGAUCAUGAUAGAGAAUGGAGAGUGAAGGGAAAGCUCCCCUUGUUCUGGAGAAAUACAGACUCAUUGUGAUAACUGCAGAGAGACUAGGUGGGAAAGGUCUUCAAAAUCAUUCUCAUGGAAUGGGGAAAGCAUCCUGCUUCACUCUAACACAGGU